UGGGGAAUAUUGCACAAUGGGGGAAACCCUGAUGCAGCGACGCCGCGUGAGUGAAGAAGUAUUUCGGUAUGUAAAGCUCUAUCAGCAGGGAAGAAGAAGGACGGUACCUGAGUAAGAAGCCCCGGCUAACUACGUGCCAGCAGCCGCGGUAAUACGUAGGGGGCAAGCGUUAUCCGGAUUUACUGGGUGUAAAGGGAGCGUAGACGGCGGAGAAAGUCUGAAGUGAAAGCCCGCGGCUUAACCGCGGAACUGCUUUGGAAACUUUUUUGCUGGAGUACCGGAGAGGUAAGCGGAAUUCCUAGUGUAGCGGUGAAAUGCGUAGAUAUUAGGAGGAACACCAGUGGCGAAGGCGGCUUACUGGACGGUAACUGACGUUGAGGCUCGAAAGCGUGGGGAGCAAACAGG
rnacentral:rRNA from 1 species